AUUGAACGCGGGCGGCAUGCCUUACACAUGCAAGUCGAACGGCAGCACGGGAGCAAUCCUGGUGGCGAGUGGCGAACGGGUGAGUAAUACAUCGGAACGUGCCCAAUCGUGGGGGAUAACGCAGCGAAAGCUGUGCUAAUACCGCAUACGAUCUACGGAUGAAAGCAGGGGAUCGCAAGACCUUGCGCGAAUGGAGCGGCCGAUGGCAGAUUAGGUAGUUGGUGAGGUAAAGGCUCACCAAGCCGUCGAUCUGUAGCUGGUCUGAGAGGACGACCAGCCACACUGGGACUGAGACACGGCCCAGACUCCUACGGGAGGCAGCAGUGGGGAAUUUUGGACAAUGGGCGAAAGCCUGAUCCAGCCAUGCCGCGUGCAGGAUGAAGGCCUUCGGGUUGUAAACUGCUUUUGUACGGAACGAAACGGCCUUUUCUAAUAAAGAGGGCUAAUGACGGUACCGUAAGAAUAAGCACCGGCUAACUACGUGCCAGCAGCCGCGGUAAUACGUAGGGUGCAAGCGUUAAUCGGAAUUACUGGGCGUAAAGCGUGCGCAGGCGGUUAUGUAAGACAGUUGUGAAAUCCCCGGGCUCAACCUGGGAACUGCAUCUGUGACUGCAUAGCUAGAGUACGGUAGAGGGGGAUGGAAUUCCGCGUGUAGCAGUGAAAUGCGUAGAUAUGCGGAGGAACACCGAUGGCGAAGGCAAUCCCCUGGACCUGUACUGACGCUCAUGCACGAAAGCGUGGGGAGCAAACAGG
rnacentral:rRNA from 1 species